GUAAACGGACUGAGUGAGUAGUUACCGCGAGGCAGUACAGAAAACCUGAUGAGCUGAGAGCAGGGUCGCUAGCGGAAAUGAAGAUGGCUUGGCACACACGGCACACCGAGCAAAUUGCGAGACUGUGAUGGUUGGCACCCAUUAUCCUGCACCCGGAUGAAUUCGUCCGCUGAGUGGAUCACGUUUUGUGUGGUCAAUUAGAAUGGUACCGUGGGCCAGAGCUCACUUCUAAC
rnacentral:misc_RNA from 1 species